UACUAACCAUGGGACUGUUAUAACAGGGAUAAUACUGUUCAAUAGUAGGUUAUACCUGGUCUAUUACCUGUACUAACCAUGGGACUGUUAUAACAGGGAUAAUACUGUUCAAUAGUAGGUUAUACCUGGUCUAUUACCUGUACUAACCAUGGGACUGUUAUAACAGGGAUAAUACUGUAAUAGUAGGUUAUA